UCACCUUUCUCCCUCAGAUGCCCUAGGAAGAGCAAGAAGCCACCGAAGUUUCACCUUUUCUAAGGAUCGUCUAAGAGUCUGCCUAUUACAUCAACUGUCACCAGAAAGAAGUCCACAGCUGACUGGGCUAUUUGGGUCAUAGUCAACAACUUUGGAGGAAACAGGCACUGUGUGCAUUAAGAAUUCACAAGGAUCAUCUCUGGCUUUUGCCUUACCAACUACUGCCAGGCUGGGACAUAGAGUCAAGUGAAUGUGAUUUAUUCAGAGCACAAAUCUGGAAGACUGAGGAGUGAAGCAGACGAAAGGACUGAGCAAGGAGGUAAGACACAGACUCGACUGUAGUGGGACUUCUGUCUCGUCCCACUGGGUACUCUGAAGCAUGCUUUGCCCCAGAACUAGAUCUACCUAGAAGCAAGGGAGUCAUUCCAAACAUGCCAUGUCCUUGUCACCUCUACCACUUCCUCCCCACCUGCACUGAGUGAAUAAA
rnacentral:lncRNA from 1 species